rnacentral:lncRNA from 1 species
GCUGGAGGAGCGGGCACAGGCCUGUCAUGGAGCGCUCACCAUGUAUCCGGUGUGUCGCUACCUCCUCUGCUCCUUCUGACAACUUCGCAAGGGACUCCUCCGGCCUUCCUUUAUUUCAGAGGAGCACGGCGAGGCUUCGCCAAGGCUGUCUGCCCCUUCUCUCCUCUCCCGGUGGGCAUCGACAGACUCACGAAGGGCUGGGUAAGGGUCGCCGGAAGAAGGUCGCCGCGCAGUCCGCUUCUCGCUCGGCAAGCCAUUAGCCCAGGGACGCCGAGCUGCUGUCCCGGGAGCCUGCGCCUCCGGACUCGCGCCUGCGCACUCCGACCCCACGCCUCGCCCCCGCAGCCUUGUGGGAAAUGUAGUCCAGCGCCCCGCGUGGAGGCGCCGGGCGGGGCCGCGUCGGUCCGCUGGCGGCUCCCGCUCCUGCCUGGAGAGGGAGCCUCAUUUCUCAUGGGUUCCUUCUUUCCUGCAGCUCUGCCUCUUCUGGAUACUGCCUGUCCCCCAGGAAGGAUCCCACUAGAAGGAAGGAGAAGGCAGUGGCUGCUGGACCUCUGCCCUCAGGAGCUCAGGUGAGCUCCUCCUUCUCUCUCAAACCGCUCCCUUACUCAUAUACUAUAUGUGGGCUUCACUGCAGAUGACCGGGCUAUUGAGAUCUCAGAAUGUUGGAUAUUUUCCACAAAGCCCCCCUCAGUGUCCCUCAGCUCUGUUCUCAGCUGCCACUUUGUCAUUCAGCUGGAUAUCUGGCCUGCUGAGCUCUUGGUGUGUGCAAGGGUCAAAAAAGGAACAAAAAUCAUAUGAGAGAUGUUCCUGUUGCUUAUAGGGCUUACAGACUCUCAGGGAACUUAAAUGAGGUCACAUCUGGACAGGACACAGUCACAAUGAUUGCACAUGAAUGUGAUAGUAAGAACAAGUGUGGUUAGGUCCCCAGAUUGUCAGUGUUCCAAGACCUGGAGAGGGAAGAUCAGUGUGGCAACCAGAAGUAGGGUUGGGUAGGGAUAACUGGAGGGGAUUUGCUGUCAUGGAGUCAGUGUCCCAAAGUUCAACCUGCCUCUGGCAUUUAAUAGCUGCAUUGUCUUGGGCAAGUGACUUGACUUCCCUGAAGGAUUAUUUCCUCGUGGUGAUGAGACAAAUAAUAGCCUUGACUGAGGGCUUGCCCCAUAACUGACACUGGUGAGAAUCUCACACGGCUUAUUUCACUUAUCAUACCUACUGCCCAGUAGGUAAAUAGCGCCUAGCAAGGUCCCUGGAAUGUUGAAGGUAUUUGGUAAGUGGAAGGCAUUCUUAUUCCAGCCAAGAGCCAGGUAUUUUAGAGUUUUAGAGGUGGAACGAAUGUAGCAGUGACAGGUAGUGAGAGGAAGUCAGAUACAAAGUUCGAGGUCAAGUGCCAGGAAGGGGUGUUUGUGUGUUGGGUAGGGUGGUAGGUGUGGCAGCGGAGAGGAGGCUGAGGAACUUGCAUAAGGGAGUUGGCGUGAUAGAAGCUUUUCUAGAAAGAAGCAGUGUCCAUCAUGAGGACAUCUAGCUAGAGGAGAUCAUGGAGAGAAAACAGUGAGUGAGGAGCCUGGGGAGUCUUUG